UACGGGGGGUGCGAGCGUUGUCCGGAAUCACUGGGCGUAAAGGGCGCGUAGGUGGUUUGAUAAGGGUGUGGUGAAAGUCCGGGGCUCAACCCCGGAUCUGCCGUGCCGACUGUCAAACUCGAGGACUGUAGAGGCAGACGGAAUUCCGGGUGUAGCGGUGGAAUGCGUAGAGAUCCGGAGGAAGACCGGUGGCGAAAGCGGCUUCCUGGACCAGCACCGACGUUCAGGCACGAAAGCGUGGGGAGCAAACAGG
rnacentral:rRNA from 1 species